rnacentral:rRNA from 1 species
GAGAGUUAAACAGUACGUGAAAUUGUUGAAAGGGAAACGAUUGAAGUCAGUCAUACCAACGGGAAAUCAACCUUUUGAGCUUGGUCUCGUGGGUUUUGAAGAGUUUCAAAGCCUUCGGAUUCGCGAGAUUGGGAUCUCUUGGUGUACUUUUUCGUACGGUUAGUCAACAUCGGUUUUGAAUGUCAUAAAAUGACUGGAGGAAUGUAGCUUCGAUCUCGUAUUGAAGUGUUAUAGCCUUUGGUAGAUGUGAUGUUUGAGACCGAGGAUUGCAACGGAUACCCUUCAGGGCUAUUCGUCUGAUCUCUGAUACGUUGCCUUGAUGUUGAAAGCUUGCUUAUGAUGUUAGGGUAUUACGGUCAAAAGGUUAGAACGAAUUACAUUCGUUAAGGAUGUUGACGUAAUGACUUUAAACGA